rnacentral:lncRNA from 1 species
CCGAAAUGGACGUCUUAUCUACCCAGGCUACUUUAUAUGGAUUAGGAUGAGGGGUAGAUUUUAGGCCAAGGCGAGAAACAACUCCAGAUGCAAUGGCGUUGAUGCAACUCCCGCUAUCAAAUAAGAUUUUGCAUGUUUUACCAUUGAUCUUAAUAAGCGUGUAAAAUAGGGAGGUUCUACGCCAGUCUUGUUCGGUCUUUGUUUGGGCUAGUGUACACCUAACCACAUGGAGC